rnacentral:rRNA from 1 species
AUAGCACAUGCAAGUCGAACGGGACUUUUUCUGGUAGCAAUACCGGGAAAAGUCUAGUGGCGAACGGGUGCGUAACACGUGGACAAUCUGCCUUAAAGUGGGGGAUAGCUCGGCGAAAGCCGAAUUAAUACCGCAUGUGAUGAGGGAAGACAUCUUUCCGAAUUCAAAGCCGGGGCAACCUGGCGCUUUUUGAGGAGUCCGCGGCCUAUCAGCUUGUUGGUGAGGUAACGGCUCACCAAGGCUAUGACGGGUAGCUGGUCUGAGAGGACGACCAGUCACACUGGAACUGAGACACGGUCCAGACACCUACGGGUGGCAGCAGUCGAGAAUUUUUCUCAAUGGGGGAAACCCUGAAGGAGCGACGCCGCGUGGAGGAUGAAGGUCUUCGGGUUGUAAACUCCUGUCAUUUGGGAACAAGGUGUGCGCGUUAACUGCGCGCGCAUUGAUAGUACCAGAAGAGGAAGAGACGGCUAACUCUGUGCCAGCAGCCGCGGUAAUACAGGAGGUCUCAAGCGUUGUUCGGAUUCAUUGGGCGUAAAGGGUGCGUAGCGGCGCGGUAAGUCGGGUGUGAAAUUUCGAGGCUUACUUCGA